rnacentral:rRNA from 1 species
AUUGAACGCUGGCGGCAGGCCUAACACAUGCAAGUCGAGCGGAUGAAGGGAGCUUGCUCCUGGAUUCAGCGGCGGACGGGUGAGUAAUGCCUAGGAAUCUGCCUGGUAGUGGGGGAUAACGUCCGGAAACGGGCGCUAAUACCGCAUACGUCCUGAGGGAGAAAGUGGGGGAUCUUCGGACCUCACGCUCUCAGAUGAGCCUAGGUCGGAUUAGCUAGUUGGUGGGGUAAAGGCCUACCAAGGCGACGAUCCGUAACUGGUCUGAGAGGAUGAUCAGUCACACUGGAACUGGGACACGGUCCAGGCUCCUGCGGGAGGGAGCAGUGGGGAAUAUUGGACAAUGGGCGAAAGCCUGGUCCAGCCAUGCCGCGUGUGUGGAGAAGGUCUUCGGAUUGUAAAGCACUUUAAGUGGGGAGGAAGGGCAGUAAGUUAAUACCUUGCUGUUUUGACGUUACCAACAGAAUAAGCACCGGCUAACUUCGUG